UACGGAGGGUACGAGCGUUGUCCGGAAUCAUUGGGCGUAAAGGGCGCGUAGGUGGCCUGCUAAGCGUGCGGUGAAAGCUCGGGGCUCAACCCCGAGUCGGCCGUGCGAACUGGUGGGCUUGAGCACUGUAGAGGCAGGCGGAAUUCCGGGUGUAGCGGUGGAAUGCGUAGAUAUCGGGAGGAAUACCAGUGGCGAAGGCGGCGACCUGGGCCAAUACUGACGCUGAGGUGCGAAAGCGUGGGGAGCAAACAGG
rnacentral:rRNA from 1 species